GACGAACGCUGGCGGCGUGCUUAACACAUGCAAGUCGAACGAGAGCGUAGAGAAAGCUUGCUUUUUCUACAAUCUAGUGGCAAACGGGUGAGUAACGCGUAAACAACCUGCCCUACGGAUGGGGACAACAGCUGGAAACAGCUGCUAAUACCGAAUACGUUCCGAAAGUCGCAUGACUAUCGGAAGAAAGGAUGGCCUCUAUUUAUAAGCUAUCGCCGGAGGAGGGGUUUGCGUCUGAUUAGCUAGUUGGAGGGGUAACGGCCCACCAAGGCGACGAUCAGUAGCCGGUCUGAGAGGAUGAACGGCCACAUUGGAACUGAGACACGGUCCAGACUCCUACGGGAGGCAGCAGUGGGGAAUCUUCCGCAAUGGGCGAAAGCCUGACGGAGCAACGCCGCGUGAGUGAAGACGGCCUUCGGGUUGUAAAGCUCUGUUAUACGGGACGAAUAAUCUUGUGGUUAAUACCCAUGAGAAGUGACGGUACCGUAAGAGAAAGCCACGGCUAACUACGUG
rnacentral:rRNA from 1 species